UUUUAUUUAAAAUAUAAAUAUAGUUUUUUUUUCUAAAUUUUUAUAGAAUGUGAUCGUGUAUGUUAAUUUAAUAAGUUUUAAUUAAUUAUAAUUAUUAAAAUUGAUAAAAAAAAAUGAGAGAAUCGCUUAAAUUUUUAAAGUUUGAUUUACAUAUUAAAAUUAAAUAAAUUAAAAUUUUAAAUGUGUCGAUUAAUAAGUUGAAGAAUAUUAUAUAUAUCUACUUAUUUAUUUAUAAAUAGUAAAUUUAAAUAAUUAAUAAAUUUAUAUAAUUAUUUUAUGUUUAGUGAAGGUAACCUCACCACUCUAUCUGAAGAGAUGACAAAAUUCAUAAAUAUAACUAUCAGCUUCAUAUUACCGAUCAGAAAAAAUGUAACUGCAGCAGUUGCAACUGCGUAAAAUCAAACAGACUAGGUGUAGUUAUAACUGUAGUAUUUGCAACUGCAUGUAUUUCCAACUACACUGUUUCUGCAACUACAUCCAACCAAACGGCCCUUUAGGGUUGCAUGAGUG
rnacentral:lncRNA from 1 species